AGAGCAAAUUGGUCUGGCUAUGCUCCUAUCAUCAGUGCUGAACUCGUACUGCAAAGGGAAACACCUGGUAAUGAUCAAAGAAAAAGGAUUGAAGUGCUCUCGGAAGGAUGAACACUAAAGACAGCGCAUUUCAAACAUGGGCACCCUCUGGUGAUCUCUCCCCAAAACGUGGUAUUUAUUUAUCACUAUGAGGUACACUCAAAACCACUUCUGGCCUGAAAGGGAGUUGACUGAAACAUAGACAAAUUUGAAGAACGUUGCUGCCCAGCAAUAACAAAGGAAACCCAAAUGGUGCUGUUGAAUCAGUUCCGACUCAUAUUGUUCGAGGAUUUCUGCAUUUCAAACAUUUAAGGAACAGAUAAUUUGUAUGCCACAUCCAGCAUUCCACAGUCUGUGAGCGAGCUAGGAUAUGCUCCUGUGUCAUUCCAAAAAACAAACACCGUCCUGAAACCCAAA